GUAGUUAGCCGGGGCUUCCUCCUUGGCUACCGUCACUUUCUUCGUCACCAAGGACAGAGGUUUACAAUCCGAAGACCUUCUUCCCUCACGCGGCGUUGCUGGGUCAGGCUUGCGCCCAUUGCCCAAUAUUCCCCACUGCUGCCUCCCGUAGGAGUCUGGACCGUGUCUCAGUUCCAGUGUGGCCGAUCAGCCUCUCAGCUCGGCUACCCAUCAUUGGCUAGGUGGGCCGUUACCCCGCCUACUACCUAAUGGGACGCGAACCCCUCCUUCUGCGGAUUGCUCCUUUGACCCCUGAGCCAUGCGACUCUGUGGUCUUAUGCGGUAUUAGCACUUGUUUCCAGGUGUUAUCCCCCUCAAAAGGGCAGGUUGUUCACGCGUUACUCACCCGUUCGCCACUAGCUAUAAAUCCGAAAACCUAUAGCCCGUUCGACUUGCAUGUGUUAGGCACGCCGCCAGCGUUCGUCCUGAGCCAGGAUCAAACUCUGA
rnacentral:rRNA from 1 species